AUAAAUAAUAUUUUUAUUAUCAAACAUUUAUUCAUAAUGUUACUGUCAAUGAUAACUGAGAGUUUUAUGAUCAUUUCCCUGCAACUGAUCUGGUACAGUUCAACUAUGCAAAUUUCGGUAUCUGUACAGCUAAGGAUAUAUACAUGUAUCAGCGAUGGUAACUUGUAAUAAAUUGCAUACAGUGAAAGGGAGAUGGCAAGAUUCUUCAUCUUUAUUGUGUGUCUCAUUCACUGCAAAUAUCUCAAUUUCUUGUGCAAUCAGUUGCUCUGUGCCUUUCACUGGUGCUAGAAAAAAAACAGCAUGACAAUCAAAUUUAAGCGUUCAUAUUUUUUCAUUCUCUUUCCAUCUUCAGUGUGGAUUGAAACUGGAACAGAUGUCUCCUCCAUACUGGUACCAACAGCUGUUCAUGGUCGAGGAUUACUCUCUUUUUAACUCCAUUUGUUAAUUUCUACAUCUUUUCCUCUUUGGCAUUCUAAAUUAAAAAAAAAGAUAGAGUUGAAUAGACUAUUUGUCUUA
rnacentral:lncRNA from 1 species